UAUUAUUUUCUAGAAUUAUGAUGGAAAAAGAUGUUGUGUCUGGUGCUGAAAUCAUGGAAAUGUUGGUUUUCAUGGCUUGGUUUACUUUCUCAAAACUACUUAAAGUUAAUUGAGAGACAAAACAUACAAAUACCUUCAAGUUUUAAGGUCGUGACUUUAGCAAAUGGAGGUUGUGGAGAGUCUGUAAGAGCUGUGUCUGCCUUCUAAGCUUCCUUGAGAACUUCUGUAAAGCAGAUCUUUCAUUAAGAAGUGCUUUAUCUUCUACUGAUAUGAUGCAUUUCCCUUCUGGGAGCAUUACUGAAGUCCUUCCAGAACCCAUCCACUAUCUGUAGAUGUCAGUAUUAAUGGCUCAGUUUUUAUAAUUCCAAUAAUGAGACAUAAUCUCAACUUAAAAAUGUUAAAUGUGUGUAUCCUUUGUCCAAGGGGGGAAAAAAACCUGAAAUAAUAAAUUCCUUUCUCUACAUUGUUCCCAUACUCUGAAAACUUCUGAUCGAGCUACUUUCCCUCAGAGAAUGGGAUUCUGUCCACAAAAAUACCACUUCUUAUUAUUGAUAGUUUUGGGAACAUUUCAAUGUUUCUGUUCAAGGAAUGGCUGGGUCAUGUGUACACAGGGUUUUCAAGGCAUCUGUACUCAGCCACCGAGAAAAUGGUGCCUAUGGUGCAGACGGGGAGAAUCCACCUAGAAUUUGUUGAAUUAAGUUCUUGCACCUGGACAUAAUUGUUGAGCCGCUGUGCUGGGGUUUUCUUAAGCUACGGCUAAACAAAUGAGCUCAAAUUAAACUGGCAUCCAGUGGAGAAGCAACAACUCACUUCAUAUAAUGUUUUUCAAAUAAUUAUUUUUCUAUUACCAUUUUUACCUCAUGAAUAUUUUCCUGGGGGCCAGGGAAGUAAAAAAUGGGGCUAAACAAGAGACAUGAUAAAACUCUGCUGAAGUUGGAGGCUCUGAUGUUAUUGCAGUGUAACUAAGAUAUGGAUUGGUAUAUGGGUAUAAUUCCAGUCAAGCUGGAUUUUUUUUCCAUACUAAACAUAGCAUGGAUUCAUGAAGUACAUUUUAGGAAAUAAUCUCAUGUCUUUAUGCAGAUUCAUAAUUACUGCUACACUUUCUGCCUAUGUAAUGCCAUGACUAUCUUUGCAGGUAGACAAAAAGCAUGUGAGAAUUACGAUGCCCAGAUACAAGAUUUAGUUGUGUUUGUCUCUAGACUUUGUGAAUCUCAUUUGGUCAUGCAUUUUUAAGUUAUUUAUACUUGGCAAUAAACUUCAUACGUUUUCUGGAAAUUCAACAAAUUCAAGAAUUCAGUGACUGAGAAGAGUGAAUUCAUGAAACCAGAAGAAGCUGCCUCUUGUAGCCAGGUAGGACCCCCCCCUACACCACCACCCCCGGUGGAAGGAAUAAGAGCAACAAUAUACCCACCAAACUUUCCACCCAAAAUUUGUCAUGGCUAAAAGCAAUGCAGAAAAAAAGAUGGAGCAGAGACUGAAGGAAUGGCCAACCAAAAACUGGCCCAACUUGAGACCCAUCCCAUGGGCAAGCAUCAAAUCCCUGACACUAUUAAUGAAAUCCUUGCAGACAGAAGUUUAGCAUGGCUGUCCUCUGAGAGGCUCUACCCAGCAGCUGGCUGAAACAGAUGCAGAUACUCAUAGCCAAAUAUUGGCUGAAGGGUGGGGCCUCUUAUGGAAGAGUGUGUGUGUGUGUGUGUGUGUGUGCGCGCGCGCGCGCGCGUGCAGUGGGGGUGGGGGUGGGGGAUUAAAGGCCCUGAAGGGGAUAGGAACUUCACAGGAAGACCAACAGAUCAACUAUCUUGGAUCCUUGGGGCUCUCUGAGACUGAGCCUCCAACCAGAGAACACACUGGACUGAGAUCUCUGGCACACAGAGCUGCCUUUUCUGGCCGCCAUGGGAGAAGGUGCACCUAGCUCUGUAGAGACUUGGUGCACUAAGGUGAGGGAUACCCGAGUGAUUCCACCAUCUCAGUGAAGAGAGGGUUUGGGAAGGUACUCUGGGAGGGAAGAAAUGGGAAGGAAGACAGAAUUUUGGUCUGUAAAUGAAUUAAUUAAAAAUAAAAUAGCACUACUAUCAAACAAACAGACGAAACAAAACAAAAUAAAACAAGAAAGGGAAAUAAGACUAAGGUUUAGAGGACCCAUACGCAGUUUUCUGUGCAUUCGUGCAUAGUCACCUAAUUCAAACUUCACAGACAGCAAAUAGGUGUCUGACAGGAUCCUUACCAGGAAAGGAUGGGAAAUUUUUGGUUCCUUAAAGUUUUCAUUUCAACGAGGGAGGAAAACUAUACCCCCAUAAAUGGAAACAAAGAAAGGAUGUUAUUUCAAUCAAUUUUAAGGACUAUGAAGAACAUAAUAUGGGCUAGCUUAGAUACACUUAGGUUUAUUGGGAAGGUUUUGUGAAGCAUGUGUCAAUAUGUAUAUGUUGCCAAUGUCAACAGAGCUUCUUUUGUACACUGAAUGCCUUGCCACUGCUU
rnacentral:lncRNA from 1 species